AUGCAGAUGGUAUCAUCAGGCCGCACCGCGGUGAACAUUAAUGGGGAGAUCGGCCCAUUCUUCCCCAUGUUUUUUGGGGUGCGCCAGGGCGACCCCUUCUUCCCGUUCUUGUUUAACAUGGUUGUCGAUGCACUGGCGGCCAUCCUUCGGGCACUUUAG
rnacentral:rRNA from 1 species